GACGUAGGGCGCGAGCGUUGUCCGGAUUUAUUGGGCGUAAAGAGCUCGUAGGCGGCUUGUCGCGUCGUCCGUGAAAACUUGGGGCUCAACCCCAAGCUUGCGGUCGAUACGGGCAGGCUCGAGUUCGGUAGGGGAGACUGGAAUUCCUGGUGUAGCGGUGAAAUGCGCAGAUAUCUGGAGGAACACCGGUGGCGAAGGCGGCAUCCUGGACCGGUAUUGACGCUGAGGCGCGAAAGCUAGGGGAGCAAACGGG
rnacentral:rRNA from 1 species